CAAUAGCGUAUAUUAAAGUUGUUGCGGUUAAAAGCUCGUAGUUGGAUUUCUGCUGAGGACGACCGGUCCGCCCUCUGGGUGAGUAUCUGGCUCGGCCUUGGCAUCUUCUUGGGGAACGUAACUGCACUUGACUGUGUGGUGCGGUAUCCAGGACUUUUACUUUGAGGAAAUUAGAGUGUUCAAAGCGGGCGUUUGCUUGAAUAUAUUAGCAUGGAAUAAUGGAAUAGGACCCUGGUCCUAUUUUGUUGGUUUUGAGGACUAGAGUAAUGAUUAAUAGGGAUAGUUGGGGGCAUUCAUAUUUAAUUGUCAGAGGUGAAAUUCUUGGAUUUAUGAAAGAUGAACUUCUGCGAAAGCAUUUGCCAAGGAUGUUUUCAUUAAUCAAGAACGAAAGUUAGGGGAUCGAAGACGAUUAGAUACCAU
rnacentral:rRNA from 1 species